AGAGUUUAUCAUGGCUCAGAUUGAACGCUGGCGGCAUGCCUUACACAUGCAAGUCGAACGGCAGCACGGGAGCAAUCCUGGUGGCGAGUGGCGAACGGGUGAGUAAUGUAUCGGAACGUACCUUUCAGUGGGGGAUAACGUAGCGAAAGUUACGCUAAUACCGCAUAUUCUGUGAGCAGGAAAGCAGGGGAUCGCAAGACCUUGCGCUGAUUGAGCGGCCGAUAUCAGAUUAGCUAGUUGGUGAGGUAAAGGCUCACCAAGGCGACGAUCUGUAGCGGGUCUGAGAGGAUGAUCCGCCACACUGGAACUGAGACACGGUCCAGACUCCUACGGGAGGCAGCAGUGGGGAAUUUUGGACAAUGGGGGCAACCCUGAUCCAGCCAUGCCGCGUGAGUGAAGAAGGCCUUCGGGUUGUAAAGCUCUUUCAGCCGGGAAGAAAUCACAUGGGUUAAUACCCUGUGUGGAUGACGGUACCGGAAUAAGAAGCACCGGCUAACUACGUGCCAGCAGCCGCGGUAAUACGUAGGGUGCGAGCGUUAAUCGGAAUUACUGGGCGUAAAGCGUGCGCAGGCGGUUUGUUAAGAUAGGCGUGAAAUCCCCGGGCUCAACCUGGGAACUGCGUUUAUGACUGGCAGGCUAGAGUAUGGCAGAGGGGGGUGGAAUUCCACGUGUAGCAGUGAAAUGCGUAGAGAUGUGGAGGAACACCGAUGGCGAAGGCAGCCCCCUGGGCCAAUACUGACGCUCAUGCACGAAAGCGUGGGUAGCAAACAGGAUUAGAUACCCUGGUAGUCCACGCCCUAAACGAUGUCAACUAGGUGUUGGGUGGGUAAAACCAUUUAGUACCGGAGCUAACGCGUGAAGUUGACCGCCUGGGGAGUACGGCCGCAAGGUUAAAACUCAAAGGAAUUGACGGGGACCCGCACAAGCGGUGGAUGAUGUGGAUUAAUUCGAUGCAACGCGAAAAACCUUACCUACCCUUGACAUGUCCAGAAGCUCUUAGAGAUUUGAGUGUGCCCGAAAGGGAACUGGAACACAGGUGCUGCAUGGCUGUCGUCAGCUCGUGUCGUGAGAUGUUGGGUUAAGUCCCCGCAACGAGCGCAACCC
rnacentral:rRNA from 1 species